rnacentral:rRNA from 1 species
AUCGAACGCUGGCGGCAGGCCUAACACAUGCAAGUCGAACGAGUGGCGGACGGGUGAGUAAUGUCUUGGAAACUGCCUGAUGUAGGGGGAUAACUACUGGAAACGGUAGCUACUACCGCAUACCAUCAGAUGUGCCCAUAUGGGAUUAGGUAGCUGGUGGGGUAACGGAUCACCAAGGCGACGAUCCCUAGCUGGUCUGAGAGGAUGACCAGCAACACUGGAACUGAGACACGGUCCAGACUCCUACGGGAGGCAGCAGUGGGGAAUAUUGGACAAUGGGCGAAAGCCUGAUGCAGCCAUGCCGCGUGUAUGAAGAAGGCCUUCGGGUUGUAAAGUACUUUAGGUGGGGAGGCGUUACCCGCCGAAGAAGCACCGGCUAACUACGUGCCAGCCGCCGCGGUAAUUC